rnacentral:tRNA from 1 species
AAUUAUGUAGUUUAUUAAGAAUAUUAAAUUGCAAAUUUAAAGGAAAAAGUAAUUUUCAUAAUUU